rnacentral:rRNA from 1 species
UACGAAGGGGGCUAGCGUUGCUCGGAAUCACUGGGCGUAAAGCGCACGUAGGCGGAUCUUUAAGUCAGGGGUGAAAUCCUGGAGCUCAACUCCAGAACUGCCUUUGAUACUGGGGAUCUCGAGUCCGGGAGAGGUGAGUGGAACUGCGAGUGUAGAGGUGAAAUUCGUAGAUAUUCGCAAGAACACCAGUGGCGAAGGCGGCUCACUGGCCCGGUACUGACGCUGAGGUGCGAAGGCCAGGGGAGCAAACAGG